AUUGAACGCUGGCGGAAUGCUUUACACAUGCAAGUCGAACGGUAGAGGGGGCAACCCCUCGAGAGUGGCGAACGGGUGAGUAAUAUAUCGGAACGUGCCCAGUCGUGGGGGAUAACGUAGCGAAAGUUACGCUAAUACCGCAUACGAUCUAAGGAUGAAAGCGGGGGAUCGCAAGACCUCGCGCGAUUGGAGCGGCCGAUAUCAGAUUAGGUAGUUGGUGGGGUAAAGGCUCACCAAGCCAACGAUCUGUAGCUGGUCUGAGAGGACGACCAGUCACACUGGAACUGAGACACGGUCCAGACUCCUACGGGAGGCAGCAGUGGGGAAUUUUGGACAAUGGACGCAAGUCUGAUCCAGUCAUUCCGCGUGCAGGAUGAAGGCCCUCGGGUUGUAAACUGCUUUUGCACGGAACGAAAAGGUCUCUCUUAAUACGGGGGACUCAUGACGGUACCGUAAGAAUAAGCACCGGCUAACUACGUGCCAGCCGCCGCAGUAA
rnacentral:rRNA from 1 species